rnacentral:rRNA from 1 species
CCUACGGGGGGCAGCAGUGGGGAAUAUUGCACAAUGGGGGGAACCCUGAUGCAGCAACGCCGCGUGAGUGAAGAAGUCAUUCGUGAUGUAAAGCUCUAUCAGCAGGGAAGAAAAUGACGGUACCUGACUAAGAAGCCCCGGCUAACUACGUGCCAGCAGCCGCGGUAAUACGUAGGGGGCAAGCGUUAUCCGGAUUUACUGGGUGUAAAGGGAGCGUAGACGGCGAGACAAGUCUGAAGUGAAAUGCCAGUGCUCAACACUGGAACUGCUUUGGAAACUGCCUGGCUGGAGUGCGGGAGAGGUAAGUGGAAUUCCUAGUGUAGCGGUGAAAUGCGUAGAUAUUAGGAGGAACACCAGUGGCGAAGGCGGCUUACUGGACCGUAACUGACGUUGAGGCUCGAAGGCGUGGGGAGCAAACAGGAUUAGAUACCCGAGUAGUC